GAGGUUUCUGUUUGCGUCAUCACAACAAACUGUUUCGGCCGUGUUUUUUCGGUGAUCAAAGUCUUUCGGCCGAAAACCGAAAAUUUUCGGUGGCCGAAUAUUCGGUGCAUCCCUAAUCUUUAUACAUGGGUCAUGAGGGUGAGGGCUUAGAGUAGGACUGGGGAUUAGUGAUGUCCGGUUCGUGAACGAAUCGUUCAUUUGAACUGGUUCUUUUUAAUGAACCGGUUCACCAAAUCGGACUGAAUCGUUUAAAACAGUUCGCGUCUCAAAUCAGCACUAAUCAACAAAAUUACUCAAGUUACUCACUUUUGAAUGUGUAUGACCGUCUAUCCGACUCAAAAUAAAUCAAUAUCCCUGAGAAUGGGGUUCUUCUCUAGUUUCUCCAACAGUACACACAUUAAACUGAAACAUGCUGCUGAACAAGUGAUCAUCACUGAGCAUGCGCAUACCUGCCGAUUCCGAGCAGCACACAUACUGCUGUUCUCGAGUCACCAGUACUGUAUCAAGAACCGUUUCUUUCGGACACGUCCGACAUACUACUGAUACCAGCGAAUUUUUGAUACUGAGCAUGCGCGACCUACCGAGCAGUACGCGUGCUGUCUGACAUUAAUUAAUACACACACACACUUUUGGACUCCGAAUCAGAUGCGUUCGACAUACUGCAAAGGCUGGUGCUGCGCUGCUGAUAUAUGAGCACAGGUGAACUGAGGACUUAAAUGAAAAAGCAACCUCCUGUACUAGUCUGGUUUCCAAAGAGGCCACUCAACUAAGACUGUCCUGCUCUUGGUUAUUAAAGCUCUGUGACUCCAGCAACUUUUAAGUCAUCUGUGCUCGUUUUGCUGGAUUUGUUUGCGGCUUUUGGAACAGUUAUCCACCUGAUUGUCUGUGUCUUUGAAAACCUCACUCCAGUUGUCCAAGUCUUACCUCUCAGAUGGCUGUCCCGAUAGUUGCUGCUCUCAUCUUUGCCUCCUGGACAGAAAUAUCUUGCUGUAUGUUGAAUGAUCAUCAACUCAACCCUGCCAAGACAGAACUGCUCAUGUUUUCAGCUGACAUAACUUUGGUGUUAUUGUUGACGCAUAUACAGUGGAACCCGGUUAUGUCGAUGUCCUAGGGGGUUGCCAAAAAGCAUCGAGAUAACCGAUGAUCGAGAUAAACGAAAAUAAA